rnacentral:lncRNA from 10 species
UAGAAGUGAAUAAUAAUAGCCCAAGCAGAGUGCUAAGGGGAGAGUGCUGGAACCUAUAAGAAAGUUAAUUGGAAGGAUCUAUGAUACACACAGAAAGAAAGUAAGAAGAAGCUGGCAAAGAUCAAACCCUGAGAGACUUCGUAUUCUGUGGAAAAGGAAUGAACAAUGGCAUUUUCAGAUGAAGGAAAACUAAGAGAUUUCAUCACGAAUAGAGCUACUCUACAAGAAAUA